CACAAGAAUCUUUUAAUGGCCACGUGUAUUCUUAUAGCUGUAACCUGUUAUACAAAAUGUUAUUGCUUGAGAAUACACGUAGUUAACUAGAUUCGUUCAA
rnacentral:pre_miRNA from 13 species